rnacentral:rRNA from 1 species
AUUGAACGCUGGCGGCAUGCCUAACACAUGCAAGUCGAACGGAAACGAUGGGAGCUUGCUCCCAGGCGUCGAGUGGCGGACGGGUGAGUAAUACUUAGGAAUCUGCCCAGUAGUGGGGGACAACCCGGGGAAACCCGGGCUAAUACCGCGUAAUCUCUACGGAGGAAAGAGGGCCUCUUCUUGAAAGCUCUCGCUAUUGGAUGAGCCUAAGUCGGAUUAGCUUGUUGGUGGGGUAAAGGCCACCAAGGCGACGAUCCGUAGCUGGUCUGAGAGGACGAUCAGCCACACUGGGACUGAGACACGGCCCAGACUCCUACGGGAGGCAGCAGUGGGGAAUAUUGGACAAUGGGGGCAACCCUGAUCCAGCAAUGCCGCGUGUGUGAAGAAGGCCUGCGGGGUUGUAAAGCACUUUCAGUAGAGAAGAAAAGCCUGGGCUAAUACCUCCGGUCUUGACGUAACCUACAGAAGAAGCACCGGCUAACUCCGU